UAGUUUAAAAGCGAUGUAAACUAUGUAUAAUGAGCGCGAUUUUUCAAAAUAUUACAAAUUAUAUGACAUUUUGCAUAUAUAUAAAAAAAUUCAAAAUCAGUGUGUAAAUAA